rnacentral:rRNA from 1 species
CUUGCUAGAUGCAGUCUAAGUGGCGCACGGGUGAGUAAUGUAUAGCUAANGUGCCCCUUGGAGGGGGAUAACAGUUGGAAACGGCUAGCUAAUACCCCAUACUCCUUCAUUCUUAAUGAGUGAAGGGAAAGUUUUUUCGCCAAGGGAUCAGGCUAUAUGGUAUCAGCUAGUUGGUGAGGUAACGGCUCACCAAGGCAAUGACGCCUAACUGGUCUGAGAGGAUGAUCAGUCACACUGGAACUGAGACACGGUCCAGACUCCUACGGGAGGCAGCAGUGGGGAAUAUUGCACAAUGGAGGAAACUCUGAUGCAGCAACGCCGCGUGGAGGAUGACGCAUUUCGGUGUGUAAACUCCUUUUAUAUAGGAAGAUAAUGACGGUACUAUAUGAAUAAGCACCGGCUAACUCCGUGCC